rnacentral:lncRNA from 1 species
GUUUCCCCGACUUGGGCCUGGGGGAAGACGACGACGCAGGCUGCCAGGGCCGGCGCUGCGGGGCCGUGGCUUCCCGGAGGGCGCAAAAGCGUCAGGCACCUCCUUCGAGCCGGAAUCGAACCAGCGACCUAAGGAUGUCCGUGCCUAGCCAGCCUACAGUCCUCCGCUCUACCAGCUGAGCUACCGAAGGAAAUAAAGUCUUAACAAUGGCCUGCAAAGAGUGGAGAGGGCGCUUGAGAUGCCUGAUGGUCCGUUCUGGGGAAAGGCCAGGGGACCCCUUACACGGGGCUGGACUCCCGAAGGGCACUACCAGAGGUGGAAGUCCAAAUCAAGAGUGUCCGCAGUCGGUGCCCAAGGGGAUCUCCGCAGCAGCGAGCACCUGCGGUGGAUUUCCAGGCGGAACUGAGAGACCAAGAGCGUUUACUAGAUCAGGCCACUACCGGGCGUUCUGAAGAAGCACUUUCACUCAGAGCCACGCCGUAAAUGAACAUCGCCGGGGAUUCUCAUUCGGGCGGCUUAGCACUGCGGGUGAGCCGGCGGAAAGGCCUUUCCUGAGUUUUCGAUUGUAUUUGCAAAUGAGUUUCGAACACGCGAGGACACAAAUGGGCUGAGACGUUCUUCGUGCCGAAAGGAAGGCGAGACCGAACCCCAGCCCUGAGCCGCCACCACCACUCCCGCGGGGCUCCAGCGGACCCCGCCUUCUCGGGUCUCCGANNNNNNNNNNNNNNNNNNNNNNNNNNNNNNNNNNNNNNNNNNNNNNNNNNNNNNNNNNNNNNNNNNNNNNNNNNNNNNNNNNNNNNNNNNNNNNNNNNNNNNNNNNNNNNACUCGACUGCAUAAUUUGUGGUAGUGGGGGACUGCGUUCGCGCUUUCCCCUGGCUUACUCCUGGUGGAAAGAAAGAGUUCCAGGUUUCUUGCGCGCUUCUCGCUGCCUGCCCGGCUUCCCCUCCACCGGGCUGUGCUAUGUGUUCUUCUCGUUCGGUCGCGUUUCUCGUUCGCGGCAAGGCGUGGGCUUGGUCGCACGACGGCGCCUCCUUUCGCCGUUCUCCCGAGUAGCUCUUUCUUUUCGGGCUAAGCUGAGGACCGUGCUGCCGACGUGCGUACGUCGAGCUUGCGGGCUUCCGAGCGAGUGCCCAAGAGUUGCGAGGGCUUUGUGGGGUGGCGGGCGGUCACGCCUACUCCAGAGAAGGUGGUUCCUACGCCGGAUCCGACAGCCAAGCUGGCCGGGUAACCGGUUGCUGGAGAAGAGUUGGAGUCCCUUGGCACGGAGGUCAAUUUGCAUUGCACCUCCACUGGUGGGGAUGUGCACGGGCUGCUCUCUGUGGAAUUCUGCAACCAGGAGACUUGGCUCCUUGGAUGGAGCAAGCACACUGGGGACUAUGUGACUUACCAAACCAAGGAGUAUUCAAGACCAAGGGAAGCCAACUCUCUGCCACGUCCCCUCCCACCCCCCAAUGUGGAAGAACUGAGAGCUUUAGAGAACUAUCCAGAAGCAAAUUGAAGCCUUUACUGCUACAGGUAAGCUAGCAGAAAUUACAGUAGUGUGCCACAAGACCUCAAGUUCCAUACUAAUUUCCAUCAGCAAUUUGCUGAUUGAAAAUUUUCAGAAUGGGGCACCCCCGGUGGCUCAGCAGUUUAGCGCUGCCUUGGGCCCCCAGGGUGUGAUGCUGGAGACCUGGGAUCGAGUCCCACAUCCGGCUCCCUGCAUGGAGCCUGCUUCUCCCUCUGCCUGUCUGUGCCUCUCUCUCUCUGUGUCUCUCGUGAAUGAAUAACAAUCUUUAAAAAAAAAAAUUCUCAGAAUAUACAGGGGCAAGGAUCCAGGUGCAAAUCAGAAGUGCUAUCAAUCUAAUCACCUUUCUCUCAGCUCUCAUACUGACUAUCCAAACUCAAGUCAGGGUGGUGGCAGGAUGGCAAGGGCACACUGUUGUUCAGAUCUCCUCAGCAGCUGUACAGUUUGGGGACAAUUUUUUUAAGAUUUUAUUAUUUAUUCAUGAGAGAUACAAAUAGAGAGACAGAGACAUAGGCAGAGGGAGAAGCGGGAAGCCUGAUCUGGGACUUGAUCCUAGGACCCUGAGAUCCCAACUUGAGCCUAAGGCAGAUGCUCAAACACUGAGCCACUCAGGUGCCCAUUUUGGGAACAUCUAAAGGAAGAAUGAAGGGCAGCCCAGGUGGCUCAGUGGUUUAGCGCUGCCUUCAGCCCAGGGCGUGAUCCUGGAGACCCAAGAUCGAGGCCCACGUCCAGCUCCCUGCGUUGAGCCUGCUUCUCCGUCUGCCUCUCUCUCUGUGCUGCUCAUGAAUAAAUAAAUAAAAUAUUUAAAAAAAAAUAAAGUA